GUCUACAGCCAUACCUUCCUGAAUGCUCCUGAUCUCAGAAGUUAGCAGUCAGGUGUGGUUAGUACACAGAUGGGAGGUGACCUGGGAAUACCUAGUGUUUUAGACU
rnacentral:rRNA from 1 species